rnacentral:lncRNA from 1 species
CAAACAGUGAAUGUUUCCAUAACAGCCUCAAGGUCCAACUUUCUCCAGGAAGGCUUGCAGCCUGCCAGACAGCUGGGUUCCGGCGGGGAUGGCCGGCUCAUGUAGUGCCAUCUUGUGGCAGCCGCGUGAAUGGCAUUUUAUAAAUCAUCCUGUUGGGCUGCUGUGAAAUGAGUCCCUUCCUGAUGACCUAAAAAGAAAUCCAGUGAUAUUCACAUCAUCUUAAUUUUUCUUAAUAAUAUGGGAAACUGUUUUAUUAAAUACUUAUGUAAUUC